rnacentral:rRNA from 1 species
GAUGAACGCUGGCGGCGUGCCUAAUACAUGCAAGUCGAGCGAACGGACGAGAAGCUUGCUUCUCUGAUGUUAGCGGCGGACGGGUGAGUAACACGUGGAUAACCUACCUAUAAGACUGGGAUAACUUCGGGAAACCGUAGCUAAUACCGGAUAAUAUUUUGAACCGCAUGGUUCAAAAGUGAAAGACGGUCUUGCUGUCACUUAUAGAUGGAUCCGCGCUGCAUUAGCUAGUUGGUAAGGUAACGGCUUACCAAGGCAACGAUGCCUAGCCGACCUGAGAGGGUGAUCGGCCACACUGGAACUGAGACACGGUCCAGACUCCUACGGGAGGCAGCAGUAGGGAAUCUUCCGCAAUGGGCGAAAGCCUGACGGAGCAACGCCGCGUGAGUGAUGAAGGUCUUCGGAUCGUAAAACUCUGUUAUUAGGGAAGAACAUAUGUGUAAGUAACUGUGCACAUCUUGACGGUACCUAAUCAGAAAGCCACGGCUAACUACGUG